GACGUCGUGCCCGAGUGGUUAAGGGGAGUGAUUAGAAUUGUUCAUCGUGUGCAAGACAAUCACUUACGUUCUGCGUGCGCAAGUUCGAGUCUUGUCGACGUCG